rnacentral:rRNA from 1 species
UGCGGAGGGAUCAUUACACAAAUAUGAAGGCGGGCUGGAACCUCUCGGGGUUACAGCCUUGCUGAAUUAUUCACCCUUGUCUUUUGCGUACUUCUUGUUUCCUUGGUGGGUUCGCCCACCACUAGGACAAACAUAAACCUUUUGUAAUUGCAAUCAGCGUCAGUAACAAAUUAAUAAUUACAACUUUCAACAACGGAUCUCUUGGUUCUGGCAUCGAUGAAGAACGCAGCGAAAUGCGAUAAGUAGUGUGAAUUGCAGAAUUCAGUGAAUCAUCGAAUCUUUGAACGCACAUUGCGCCCUUUGGUAUUCCAAAGGGCAUGCCUGUUCGAGCGUCAUUUGUACCCUCAAGCUUUGCUUGGUGUUGGGCGUCUUGUCUCUAGCUUUGCUGGAGACUCGCCUUAAAGUAAUUGGCAGCCGGCCUACUGGUUUCGGAGCGCAGCACAAGUCGCACUCUCUAUCAGCAAAGGUCUAGCAUCCAUUAAGCCUUUUUUUCAACUUUUGACCUCGGAUCAGGUAGGGAUACCCGCUGAACUUAAGCAUAU